rnacentral:pre_miRNA from 1 species
AUCUCCUGGGGAUCUUGUUAAAAUGCAGGUUCUGAUUCAAGAGGUCUGCGGGUCCAAGAUUCUGCAGUUCUAACAAGCUCCCAGGUGAUGGUGG